ACACGACUACCAUUAGAUACCCGUGUAGUCCCAGCCCUAAACGAUGCGCGUUAGGUGUAUCGGUGACCACGAGUCACCGAGGUGCCGAAGGGAAACCGUGAAACGUGCCGCCUGGGAAGUACGGUCGCAAGGCUGAACUUAAGGAUGCGGGGAGCACCACAACGGGUGGAGCUUGCGGUUUAAUUGGAUUCAACGCCGGAAAUCUUACCGGGACCGACAGCAACAUGAAGGCCAGGCUGAAGACUUUGCCGGAUUAGCUG
rnacentral:rRNA from 1 species